GGACUACAGGGGUAUCUAAUCCCGUUUGCUCCCCACACUUUCGCUACUCAGCGUCAGGUGCAACCCAGCAUGCCGCCUUCGCCACGGGUGUUCUUCCCGAUCUCUACGCAUUCCACCGCUACACCGGGAGUUCCACAUGCCUCUGUUGCCCUCCAGUCGCACAGUCUCACAUGACCUCCCCCAGUUGAGCCAGGGGCUUUAACACAUGACUUGUACAACCGCCUACUAGCGCUUUACGCCCAGUGAAUCCGGAUAACGCUCGCCUCCUACGUCUUACCGCGGCUGCUGGCAC
rnacentral:rRNA from 1 species